rnacentral:rRNA from 1 species
UAUAUAAUAUAUUUAAUAAGUUUACUUUUUUGUACCGAAGGGGACUAAUAAGAAUAGGAGAGAGAUUUUACCUUUUGUAUAAUGGUUAAAUUAAUAUAAAGUAAUUUUAUUUUUACCGAAAUGAGAAGAUCUUUACAGAUUUUAUUUUUAGAUUUGACUCCUAUGUGGCAAUAUAGGUCCCAAAAAUCUGUAAAGAGUCGAAAAGAUUUCACUUUUCAAGAUAGCUGGAUUCCUGUGAACGAUUUUAAAAAUUAAAAUUAAUUUUUAGGCGCUUAGGUCUAAAAAAGAAAGUAUGUAGAAUUUGUGUGUUUUUGAGUUAAACCCCAAAAAUUGCAAAAACAGCCAUUUAUUGUGUAUACAUCUUAAAAAUAACAAGAAGACUUUUUAAACUUUUUAAGAGUUUUAUUCUGUUUAAAUUAGUAAUUUAUUUUGUUAUUAUAAAAUGAUAAUAAGGAACUCGGCAAAUGUAACUUCAACUGUUUAACAAAAACAUAGCCUGAGGAAAGAUCUCAGGUGUAACCUGCCCAAUGUUUAUAUUAAUGGCCGCGGUACUUUGACCGUGCUAAGGUAGCGUAAUAAGUUGGCUUUUAAUUGAAGUCAGGUAUGAAUGGAUUUAUGGGGUUAAGCUGUCUUUUAUCACUUAGUUGAAUUUUCUUUGUAGGUGAAAAAGCCUAUUUUUUUCCAAGGGACGAGAAGACCCUUAGAGCUUCACCAUAAAAUUUUGUUUGCGUGGUUUAAUUGGGGCGAUUUGAGAAUAUUUUGAUCUUCUUAUUUACACACACCGAUGUUUUAUAAAUUAGAUUAGCUACCUUAGGGAUAACAGCAGAAUAUUAUAAUUAAGCUUGUGACCUCGAUGUUGGACUAGGAACCUUUUUAAUUAGAAGUUAAAAAGUCAAGUUCUGUUCGAACUUAUUUUCCU